GUGUCAGCCGCCGCGGUAAUACGGAGGGUGCAAGCGUUGUUCGGAUUUACUGGGCUUAAAGGGUGUGUAGGCGGGUCGACAAGUGUCUGGUGAAAGCCCCGGGCUCAACCCGGGAACGGCUGGGCAUACUGACGAUCUUGAGGCAGGUAGAGGUCACUGGAACAACUGGUGGAGCGGUGAAAUGCGUAGAUAUCAGUUGGAACGCCGGAGGCGAAAGCGGGUGACUGGGCCUGUCCUGACGCUGAAACACGAAAGCGUGGGGAGCAAACGGGAUUAGAAACCCCCGUAGUCC
rnacentral:rRNA from 1 species